rnacentral:tRNA from 1 species
ACAUUUUUGUAGUUGAUUAACAACAGUGGUUUUUCAGACCGCAGGUCUCAGUUAGAGCAAAAAUU